GUCACCUUCAUUUUGUGGCACAAGGGGUCAGUGCAUCUGGCUGUUAUCCAGAAGGUUGGCGGUUCAAACUUGUCCAGGGACA